rnacentral:rRNA from 1 species
UACGGAGGGUGCAAGCGUUAAUCGGAAUUACUGGGCGUAAAGCGCACGCAGGCGGUCUGUCAAGUCGGAUGUGAAAUCCCCGGGCUCAACCUGGGAACUGCAUUCGAAACUGGCAGGCUAGAGUCUUGUAGAGGGGGGUAGAAUUCCAGGUGUAGCGGUGAAAUGCGUAGAGAUCUGGAGGAAUACCGGUGGCGAAGGCGGCCCCCYGGACAAAGACUGAC